rnacentral:lncRNA from 7 species
GUUUCUUGAGUAUUCCACCGCCACCUGAUAUGUUCCUUGCGUCAAACACCAGCCAACCUCUCUACCCUCACCGUCGCUCUCAGGCCAGAGGCCAAUGCCCCUCUCCUCCUCACGGCGCCCUUCUCAAGCAUCAGCAGUGGGCUCGCCGUCGUUUCCCCCCAACCCUGGCGUGCAUCACCAUCCCUCAUCCUCAUCUCUUCCUCUGCUCCUUCGUUCCUCACUAGCUCGGCCAGGGAGCUCCCUUCCUCUCGCGCCCAUCUUCUCCCUGCCCAGACGCACUCGCCCUGGACUCCAUGUGUCUCCCCAGCUUCAUCUUCCUCAGCUCGCCCAGGCCAUGGACAUCAGUGAGCUCACCCUAGGUCCCACCUGCAUUGACCCUACUCCUCUCCAUCCAUGGCUACGCUCGGCAUCCACAUCAAGCCUUGCCCUGGGAUCGUCUUCCAACGUCCCCUUCACACCCUUGACUCUAGCUCGCCAGCACCCUCCGUUUGGCCGGCCAUGGCCACCUCGCCGAGGCCCCGGCCACGACGUCAUCCUAGCUAGCUGUCAAAGUCGUGCCUCG